AACAAAGACGUCUUUCUGCACUAUAUAAAUGAAAAAAGGAAAUAAGUUGGCUGGAAAUGACGAUAAAACCAGAAAUGACAUUAAUGGAAGUCGGAAGUGACGUCAUCUUGAGGAGCCAGAAGUGACUUCAUCAUCGAGGGACCGGAAGUGGCAUCAUCACGAUGACCCCCCGGAAAGUGACGUCAUCAGCGUUGGACCGGAAAUGAUGUCAUGCUGUGGAGCUGGAGGUGACAUCAUCACAGAUGAAAUUGUCUGUAUGGAGCCAUUUUGUGAUACCGGAAGUGUUGUUGAUCCAGUGAAACAUAACAUGGCAUAACAUUGUGAAACCCACUUAAUCCAUUUCCGGGUCUAUGGGACUUGAAAAAUCCUGGACAGGAUGCCAAUCUACUACAGGGAUCACUCACACAGAGCUAAUUAAGUGGAAGUGUCACCGGUUAAUCUAACAAACAUGUCAAUGGGGCAAAACUGAAGCAACCAGAGGAAAACCCACACACAAACAUCAGGAGAAUGUACAAGAUCCUCAGAGUAACGACAGACAUUGGGGAACAUCCAAACAGUGUUCACAUGUCAAUAAGAAGGCCAACACAAUGGCAGGCAAAUCAGCAUGAUGCACAGAAUACAAGAACAUGGAAUAUAAGGAGGCUGAGGAUCUGCACUGGUUUGAAUCCCAUUACUGCCAAACGGGAUCCUACGAUGUUGGGCCCUUGAGCAAAGCCCCUAACUUACAAUUGCUCCAGGGGAACAGUACAAUGGCUGACCCUGCGCUCUGACCCCAAGGGGUAUGCGAAAAACAACAAAUUUCUAAUACAGUGGAGCCUCGGGUCACGACCGUAAUUCAUUCCAAAACUCUGGCCGUAAUCCGAUUUGGUAUUCAUUUCCCCCAUAGGAUUGUAUGUAAAUACAAUUAAUCUGUUCUGGACCAUACAAGCUGUAUGUAAAUAUAUUCUU